ACCCACCGCCGCCAACCUACCUACCACUGCCAAUCUACCUACCACUGCCAACCUAUCUAUCACUGCUAAUCUAUCGCUGCUAAUCUAUCGCUGCUAAUCUAUCGCUGCUAAUCUAUCACUGCUAAUCUAUCGCUGCCAACCUACCUACCACUGCCAACCUACCUACCGCUGCCAAUCUACCUACCACUGCCAACCUAUCUAUCACUGCUAAUCUAUCACUGCUAAUCUAUCACUGCUAAUCUAUCGCUGCUAAUCUAUCGCUGCUAAUCUAUCGCUGCUAAUCUAUCGCUGCUAAUCUAUCGCCGCCAACCUACCUACCGCUGCCAACCUACCCACCGCUGCCAACCUAUCUAUCACUGCUAAUCUAUCGCUGCUAAUCUAUCGCUGCUAAUCUAUCACUGCUAAUCUAUCGCUGCUAAUCUAUCGCUGCUAAUCUAUCGCCGCCAACCUACCUACCGCUGCCAAUCUACCUACCGCUGCCAACCUAUCUAUCACUGCUAAUCUAUCGCUGCUAAUCUAUCGCUGCUAAUCUAUCACUGCUAAUCUAUCGCUGCUAAUCUAUCGCUGCUAAUCUAUCGCCGCCAACCUACCUACCGCUGCCAAUCUACCUACCGCUGCCAACCUAUCUAUCACUGCUAAUCUAUCGCUGCUAAUCUAUUGCUGCUAAUCUAUCACUGCUAAUCUAUUGCUGCUAAUCUAUUGCUGCUAAUCUAUCACUGCUAAUCUAUCGCUGCUAAUCUAUCGCUGCUAAUCUAUCGCCGCCAACCUACCUACCGCUGCCAAUCUACCUACUGCUGCCAACCUAUCUAUCACUGCUAAUCUAUCGCUGCUAAUCUAUCGCUGCUAAUCUAUCACUGCUAAUCUAUUGCUGCUAAUCUAUCGCUGCUAAUCUAUCGCCGCCAACCUACCUACCGCUGCCAACCUACCUACUGCUGCCAACCUAUCUAUUGCUGCCAACCUAUAUAGGGUAAAUCAUGGUCCCAUUUGGUCCCAUUUUGUAAAAUGGGACCAAAUGGGACCAGGAUCACUAAUUUAUUACUAAAACAUGAUCUGGGACUAGAUUUAUAAUAUAAACAGUGUAAAGUGACUAAUUUACUAAACACUAUAUGGGACCAGGACUAAGAUAUCUAAUAAUGGGACUGAGGAAAAAUUUGGUCCCAGUCCCAUGCAUGGUCACACAGCCAGUCUAUAAAAUCAUUCUCUAAAAGUUGAAUAUUAUUCUUUUUAAUCUGAUUUAUAUAAUUUUUAAUAAAUAAGGU
rnacentral:sRNA from 1 species